AGAACGAACGCUGGCGGCAUGCCUAAUACAUGCAAGUCGAACGAACACUUCGGUGUUAGUGGCGCACGGGUGCGUAACGCGUGGGAAUCUGCCCUUGGGUUCGGAAUAACAGUUGGAAACGACUGCUAAUACCGGAUGAUAUCGAAAGAUCAAAGAUUUAUCGCCCAGGGAUGAGCCCGCGUAGGAUUAGCUAGUUGGUGAGGUAAAGGCUCACCAAGGCGACGAUCCUUAGCUGGUCUGAGAGGAUGAUCAGCCACACUGGGACUGAGACACGGCCCAGACUCCUACGGGAGGCAGCAGUAGGGAAUAUUGGACAAUGGGCGCAAGCCUGAUCCAGCAAUGCCGCGUGAGUGACGAAGGCCUUAGGGUUGUAAAGCUCUUUUACCCGAGAUGAUAAUGACAGUAUCGGAGAAUAAGCCCCGGCUAACUCCGCGCCAGCAGCCGC
rnacentral:rRNA from 1 species